GGAAGUAAAAGUCCGUAACAAGGUUUCCGUAGGUGAACCUGCGGAAGGAUCAUUACUGAGUGAGGGCCCUCUGGGUCCAACCUCCCACCCGUGUUUAUUGUACCUUGUUGCUUCGGUGCGCCCGCCUCACGGCCGCCGGGGGGGCUUCUGCCCCCGGGUCCGCGCGCACCGGAGACACCAUUGAACUCUGUCUGAAGAUUGCAGUCUGAGCAUAAACUAAAUAAGUUAAAACUUUCAACAACGGAUCUCUUGGUUCCG
rnacentral:misc_RNA from 1 species